rnacentral:rRNA from 1 species
UUAAGCGACUAAGCGUACACGGUGGAUGCCCUGGCAGUCAGAGGCGAUGAAGGACGUGCUAAUCUGCGAAAAGCGUCGGUAAGGUGAUAUGAACCGUUAUAACCGGCGAUGUCCGAAUGGGGAAACCCAGUGCAAUUCGUUGCACUAUCGUUAACUGAAUACAUAGGUUAACGAGGCGAACCGGGGGAACUGAAACAUCUAAGUACCCCGAGGAAAAGAAAUCAACCGAGAUUCCCCCAGUAGCGGCGAGCGAACGGGGAGCAGCCCAGAGUCUGAAUCAGCUUGUGUGUUAGUGGAACGGUCUGGAAAGUCCGACGGUACAGGGUGAUAGUCCCGUACACCAAAAUGCACAGGCUGUGAACUCGAAGAGUAGGGCGGGACACGUGGUAUCCUGUCUGAAUAUGGGGGGACCAUCCUCCAAGGCUAAAUACUCCUGACUGACCGAUAGUGAACCAGUACCGUGAGGGAAAGGCGAAAAGAACCCCGGCGAGGGGAGUGAAAAAGAACCUGAAACCGUGUACGUACAAGCAGUGGGAGCACCUUCGGGUGUGACUGCGUACCUUUUGUAUAAUGGGUCAGCGACUUAUAUUCUGUAGCAAGGUUAACCGUAUAGGGGAGCCGCAGGGAAACCGAGUCUUAACUGGGCGUUAAGUUGCAGGGUAUAGACCCGAAACCCGGUGAUCUAGCCAUGGGCAGGUUGAAGGUUGGGUAACACUAACUGGAGGACCGAACCGACUAAUGUUGAAAAAUUAGCGGAUGACUUGUGGCUGGGGGUGAAAGGCCAAUCAAACCGGGAGAUAGCUGGUUCUCCCCGAAAGCUAUUUAGGUAGCGCCUCGUGAAUUCAUCUUCGGGGGUAGAGCACUGUUUCGGCUAGGGGGUCAUCCCGACUUACCAACCCGAUGCAAACUACGAAUACCGAAGAAUGUUAUCACGGGAGACACACGGCGGGUGCUAACGUCCGUCGUGAAGAGGGAAACAACCCAGACCGCCAGCUAAGGUCCCAAAGUCAUGGUUAAGUGGGAAACGAUGUGGGAAGGCACAGACAGCCAGGAUGUUGGCUUAGAAGCAGCCAUCAUUUAAAGAAAGCGUAAUAGCUCACUGGUCGAGUCGGCCUGCGCGGAAGAUGUAACGGGGCUAAACCAUGCACCGAAGCUGCGGCAGCGACACUAUGUGUUGUUGGGUAGGGGAGCGUUCUGUAAGCCUGCGAAGGUGUGCUGUGAGGCAUGCUGGAGGUAUCAGAAGUGCGAAUGCUGACAUAAGUAACGAUAAAGCGGGUGAAAAGCCCGCUCGCCGGAAGACCAAGGGUUCCUGUCCAACGUUAAUCGGGGCAGGGUGAGUCGACCCCUAAGGCGAGGCCGAAAGGCGUAGUCGAUGGGAAACAGGUUAAUAUUCCUGUACUUGGUGUUACUGCGAAGGGGGGACGGAGAAGGCUAUGUUAGCCGGGCGACGGUUGUCCCGGUUUAAGCAUGUAGGCUGAUUGUCCAGGCAAAUCCGGAUAAUCAAGGCUGAGGUGUGAUGACGAGGCACUACGGUGCUGAAGUAACAAAUGCCCUGCUUCCAGGAAAAGCCUCUAAGCAUCAGGUAACAUCAAAUCGUACCCCAAACCGACACAGGUGGUCAGGUAGAGAAUACCAAGGCGCUUGAGAGAACUCGGGUGAAGGAACUAGGCAAAAUGGUGCCGUAACUUCGGGAGAAGGCACGCUGGUGUGUAGGUGAAGCCCCUGCGGGUGGAGCUGAGACCAGUCGAAGAUACCAGCUGGCUGCAACUGUUUAUUAAAAACACAGCACUGUGCAAACACGAAAGUGGACGUAUACGGUGUGACGCCUGCCCGGUGCCGGAAGGUUAAUUGAUGGGGUUAUCCGUAAGGAGAAGCUCUUGAUCGAAGCCCCGGUAAACGGCGGCCGUAACUAUAACGGUCCUAAGGUAGCGAAAUUCCUUGUCGGGUAAGUUCCGACCUGCACGAAUGGCGUAAUGAUGGCCAGGCUGUCUCCACCCGAGACUCAGUGAAAUUGAACUCGCUGUGAAGAUGCAGUGUACCCGCGGCAAGACGGAAAGACCCCGUGAACCUUUACUAUAGCUUGACACUGAACAUUGAGCCUUGAUGUGUAGGAUAGGUGGGAGGCUUUGAAGCGUGGACGCCAGUCUGCGUGGAGCCAACCUUGAAAUACCACCCUUUAAUGUUUGAUGUUCUAACGUUGGCCCCUUACCGGGGUUGCGGACAGUGUCUGGUGGGUAGUUUGACUGGGGCGGUCUCCUCCCAAAGCGUAACGGAGGAGCACGAAGGUUAGCUAAUCCUGGUCGGACAUCAGGAGGUUAGUGCAAUGGCAUAAGCUAGCUUGACUGCGAGCGUGACGGCGCGAGCAGGUGCGAAAGCAGGUCAUAGUGAUCCGGUGGUUCUGAAUGGAAGGGCCAUCGCUCAACGGAUAAAAGGUACUCCGGGGAUAACAGGCUGAUACCGCCCAAGAGUUCAUAUCGACGGCGGUGUUUGGCACCUCGAUGUCGGCUCAUCACAUCCUGGGGCUGAAGUAGGUCCCAAGGGUAUGGCUGUUCGCCAUUUAAAGUGGUACGCGAGCUGGGUUUAGAACGUCGUGAGACAGUUCGGUCCCUAUCUGCCGUGGGCGCUGGAGAAUUGAGGGGGGCUGCUCCUAGUACGAGAGGACCGGAGUGGACGCAUCACUGGUGUUCGGGUUGUCAUGCCAAUGGCACUGCCCGGUAGCUAAAUGCGGAAGAGAUAAGUGCUGAAAGCAUCUAAGCACGAAACUUGCCCCGAGAUGAGUUCUCCCUGAGACUUUAAGUCUCCUGAAGGAACGUUAAAGACGAUGACGUUGAUAGGCCGGGUGUGUAAGCGCAGCGAUGCGUUGAGCUAACCGGUACUAAUGAACCGUGAGGCUUAACCUU